rnacentral:rRNA from 1 species
UACAGAGGUGGCAAGCGUUGUUCGGAAUUCCUGGGCGUAAAGGGCGCGUAGGCGGUCUUGUAAGUCUCGUGUGAAAUCCCUCGGCUUAACUGAGGAACUGCACGGGAUACUGCAUGACUUGAGAUCGGGAGAGGGAAGCGGAAUUCCGGGUGUAGCGGUGAAAUGCGCAGAUAUCAGGAGGAACACCGGCGGCGAAGGCGGGUCUCUGGGCCAUAACUGACGCUGAGGAGCGAAAGCGUGGGGAGCGAACAGG